rnacentral:rRNA from 1 species
UACGUAGGGGGCUAGCGUUGUCCGGAAUCAUUGGGCGUAAAGCGCGUGUAGGCGGUCCGGUAAGUCCGCUGUGAAAGUCGGGGGCUCAACCCUCGAAUGCCGGUGGAUACUGUCGGGCUAGAGUGCGGAAGAGGCGAGUGGAAUUCCUGGUGUAGCGGUGAAAUGCGCGGAUAUCAGGAGGAACACCAAUUGCGAAGGCAGCUCGCUGGGACGUAACUGACGCUGAGACGCGAAAGCGUGGGGAGCAAACAGG